UAAUAGGUUUUAUUGUUGUUUUAUAUAUUUUGACUUUGAUUUCAGUAUUUAGAUAUUAGGCAAUCCAAACCACGUGACCUCUGGUUGGCACACAAACUAACAAAGAGGUUAUGUUUGCAUCUAUUUUUCAAUGAUUUUUCAUUGUUUAUCGUCGUAUUUUGGAUUCAUUUGGAUUUCGUUUCCUGUUUUUGUGAACUUUAUAAACUUUACCACAAUGCAAACUGAUUAUUUAAGGAAAUUAUUAUUGGAAACUCCAGAUGUUGCGAGAAAGGUAGGCGAAACAAUUUUUUUUACUGUUCAUUUUGCCCCGAUAUUUAUCAAUAAUGAUGAAUUUUGCAAGCAAUAACAUUAUUUCUUUUAUUGUUCUAGAUAUUUAUUGAAGCUGAAAAUAAUUGGGGAUUUAGAUCCAUACGCAAUUCAGUCAGAAUUAGAUUUUACAGUAAAGUGCAGUCCAUCAAGUUACUAUUAUAGAUAUUUAUACACAUCUGGUGAAGUCUGAUAUGUCACAGUUGCUACUCUAAGCAGCAGAUGAAAGCAUACAAAAGCCUUCAGGCACAUAAAUAUUUUACAGCUGGAUUUGUUUUGAAUGGAGUAAAAAUUGUUAAUGAUUUCCUGAUUUCCAUAUUAUUGUGGGAAAGGUGAAGCAUUUCCAAAAAUCCAAUGCUAAACGACUAAAUGCUUGGGUGGGGUGAUAGCCAGUUCUGAUGACAUAGCAAAUUCACAUUGUAUGCGUAUGGCCGGUAAUAGUGAAGUCUGCAGCCAUAUUGCAGCAAUCCUAUUUUUAGCUUAGUAUGCUCAGGGCAAGACAGACGAAGAACCCAAUGUAUGUACAUAUGUUACAGCUACAUGGUUUGGAGAUAGCAACAUAUGCAUUCUCUGAUGAAAAACUAAUGAGUUUUGAAACUGUUCGGUCAGAGUGCUUGUUGCGCUCACUAAACGAAUUGAAAUAUAAGAUGGCUUUGGCAUUGUGUUGCAGCGAUAUGAAAAUGGUUAUUCAUUUUUAAUUAUAAUGUACUUCUUCAUCAUGAGUAAUUAUGUAUUGGUCUUUUAAAUGUGUAUUUAUUUUUGUAAUUAGUAUCAACUUGUAAUAAUAAUAUUCAUUUAUCGUUUAAGGUAUGACUAUGUUUUGACUCUAAAAUAAAUGUUUUAAAAAUCGAA